GUUAUUAAUUUUUGGUGGCCUAGAAAAUUCAAAAUUGGGAUUCCUAGGCCACCAACUUUAAGUGCUUAUAACUUGGCUCAAA
ensembl:ncRNA C43D7.13 ncRNA